rnacentral:sRNA from 1 species
UUCAUGGAUAUGAAACCCACCGUGGAUAUAGAGGGUUGAUUGUAUUUAUUUUUACUCAUUGUCUUCCCGCUGAACUGAACUGUGCCGCUCUUGGGGAAGAAUGCUAAUGCCAAAUUAAUUAGAUCACCCAGCAUCUUUGACAUGACUCAGAUCCAAAAAUGUAAACGCAUUCCUCCCUUUCUGUCCCGCAGGGACACGUCAAAGGCUACAUAUCGCAUCAGCAUCAGAAGCUGGUGGUCAGCAAGCAGAACCCAUUUCCUCCCCUGUCCACGGUGUGUUGAAAGUACACGGAGACCCGAGGACGAACUCGGCUGGUUCUGGAGUCUUUGUGAGACUUCUUUGAAGGAGGCUUUGCGUGAAGGCCGCUCCGGCUCACUUUUCCUAAGUGUGGUUCCUGAAGGCUGUCUUUGUAACUUUUUGUAGUUCUUUGUGUAAAAAGGGUAUUCUGAAUUUAUACACAUGGCAUGUUCUUCAUUAUAUCUUCCAGGAUACAUCUAUUUUUAUAUAUUAAAUUUGAAUGUGUUAUCAAAAUGCUUGGUUAACUUAAGGCACCUUUUUAAAAGCAGAAUUUAAUUUGAUUUAAGUUUUCCAGAUUUUAUAGCUUGCCUGUAUGGAUGCUCCUCAAUUUUUGAUGGGGUUACAUCCCAAUAAACUUAUUUUAUUUGCCUUU